rnacentral:lncRNA from 1 species
UGCAGGCCCCAAGGACUGGUCAUGGGUGGUCAUGAUUCUCCACAUCUGAGUCAUAGCAAAGCGGAGCCAUUCCCCCUCGGGAGAAAGGAGAUUCUCUUUACAUUCCAUCUCCUGCACCUCCACCACAGGUCUGCUUUUCGGGGGUUGGUUGCCAGUCAGCUGGCUGCUCCUGACCCGCAGACUCUGUGGCCCACGCUCUCUCCUGCAGGGAAAGGGAUGCGAUGCAAUAUUAUUUUGAGUGGAUUCCUCGUGAUUCUCCAUGCAAGUGACCAUGUCACCUACACAAGGAGACAGUCUCCUUCUUUGUAUGUAGUCCAAGUGUCUUUCUUCCCUCAGUGCUCUGGCGAGGCCUCACAGGCUGGUGCUGAAUGGCAGCCAUGGGGUCUGUUUCUUGGGGAGCAAGGAGCAUCUUCUCCCCGUUUAGCUCGAGAUCUGCUGUGGGUUUUUAUAGGUUCCCUUGACCACCUAGAAGUCCCCUGCUGUUCCUAGUGGGUUGAACAUUUUUAUCAUGAAAAGCUAGGGGAUUUCAUCAAAUUAUUUUUGUGUGUCUAGCAAGAUAGUCUUGUGACUUUUCCUCUUUAUUCUGUUGAUAUAAUUUAUUAUACUAAUUUGGAUGUUGAACCAAACUUGUACGCCUGGGAUAAAUCCUGGAUCACGGUGUGUGGUUUUCUCUGUCGGUGGCUUCUGUGGGGUCUGUUUUGAUGUGAUUUCUGCACUGGACUUCAUCAGCAGUCUUCUUUCCAUGAGGUGUUUUACCUGGUGCAGGCGCAAUGGGAUCAUGGCCUCAGAAUGUGGGCUGGUAGGUGCCCCCGCCUCUGCUCCUUGGGAAGGUCUGUGGUGAGUUCAUACUGCUUUCAAACAGCCCGUGGGACUUGGUGAGGCCCCCUGGCCCGGGUUUUCCAUUACUAGUGUGAUCUCUCCCUUCUGUGUAGUCUGUUCAGAUUGUGCCUCUCCUUGAGUCAGUUUCACUUUGUGCCUUUCUUGGAAUUGGUCCAUUUUGUCUACAUUUUCUAUUUGUCAGUGAACGAUUGUUGGCAAUGUUCUUUUUCCUUCUGUGGCACUGGGGAUGGAGCCCAUGGCCUCGCACCUGCUGGACAAGUGUUGACCACUGAGAAUCCCAGUGUUCCUCUACAAUCCUCUCAUCUCUGGGGGGUCAGCAGUGGCCUCCUUCUCUAAUCUAUUGUUAGGUAGUAGCUAGCAAGGAGCAGUGAAAUGCUUGGCAAAGUCACAAGUGUUCUUUUGUAAGGGUAAAAGAAAUUGAAGUUAAAGCGUAAAAGUUAAAGGGUAAAAGACUGGGUGUUGUAAAAGUUUCUAAGCUGCAAGGUCUGAGUUAGCUGUUAAGACAAUGCUUAGAACCGCCCAGUAAACAUUUCCCCUGAUUGUCUGGUUGUUUAAUAACUGAAGGGGUCUGUGUGGUUGCACGCAGGCAUUGCAGGGCCUGGACCAAUCAGUUUAAAUGUAACCCCCUCCUUAGGAAUGACCUAUCACUCCAGCCUGACCUGUUCCCGCCAAUGAAUGAACUAAUCAGGUUUAGGAGUUGUUGUUCAAUUUUCCCGCGCCUCAUGAUGAUUUGUUCUGAUGUAUACAAAGCCCUCCGCCCUCCCCAAAAAGUGUACUUAAGCAGUGCUCAGCCCCUGCUCAGGGCUCUGGGCUGCUUUCCGUUCUUGAGUGGGCACGGAGCCCCAGCAUGCUGGUUCAAUAAAUCCCCUUCUGCCAAUUGCAUGAGUGGUCAUUUGGUGGUCUCUUUCUCCGACGUUUCGCGGGACCCUUACAAUCUCUUAAAAUAUUUCUAGAUUUUAAGAUGUAUGGAGACAUCAUACAUCUUCCUUUAGAUUUACUGCUAGGUAUUUGAUAUGUUUUGAUGCUAUUAUAAGAG